rnacentral:lncRNA from 1 species
UAGAUCCAAGAUAUUUUGGCCUCUAAAUCCUUGUAGUUUCUUGUUAUUAAAAAUCGGGUAAAAAGGCACAAAUGGGAUGGUGUAACUUUGCUCUAGAUAUCAUGUUGGUUGCCAAACUUUAUAUAAUUUCAAAUUGGUCACCAUAUUUUUAAAAUAGUUUCUGUUCAGUCACUAAAUUAUUCAGUCAUAGGAUGGCAACGAGCGGGAUUGGGCUGGCGUAGCCAUAAC